UACGGAGGGGGCUAGCGUUGUUCGGAAUUACUGGGCGUAAAGCGCGCGUAGGCGGACCUGCAAGUCGGGGGUGAAAGCCCGAGGCUCAACCUCGGAACUGCCUUCGAUACUGCGGGUCUCGAGUCCGGGAGAGGUGAGUGGAAUUCCUAGUGUAGAGGUGAAAUUCGUAGAUAUUAGGAAGAACACCAGUGGCGAAGGCGGCUCACUGGUCCGGUACUGACGCUGAGGCGCGAAAGCGUGGGGAGCAAACAGG
rnacentral:rRNA from 1 species